ACAGUGGCGCUACAGUGCCUGGAGCUGCGCUGGUUUUUCCUCGGAGUGGAGCCUGGUAACCGCGACUUCCCCGCCAUGUUCUGUGUGUUGCUGGCUGGAGAAGGGUGGUUGACAAACUCCGACCCAGCACAGUGUUUCUGUGGGUCAAAACUAGAAAACUAUGUCCAGGCUCGGCCGAGGCGGAAGGAUCCGUUCAGGCCAGGAGUUAAAGAGCUGCCUGGGCAACAUGGCGCGACCCCAUCUCUGUAGUCCCACCUCAGCUUCCCAGAUACUUGAACCCCAAGGUUCAAGGCUGCAAUGAGCUAUGAUCCCAUCACAGCACUCCAUCCUGCGAGACGGAGAGACGGGGUUUCACCAUGUUGGCCAGGCUGGUCUGGAACUCCUGACUUGAAGUAAUCUGCCCACCUCGGCUUCCCAAAGUGCUGGGAUUACAGGCGUGAGCCACUGCGCCUGGCCCCUUCAGGUGGGUAUUGAGGCUUCACUACAAUACUAGUUCCCCGUUGCUGCCGCAAUAAAUUACCACACACUUAGUGGCUUAAAACAGCAUAGAGGUAUUCCUUUACAUUUCUGAAGGCCAGAAUUCUAAAGUCAGUCCCACUGAGUCAAGGUGGGAGCAGGGUCAGUGCCUUUCCAGGCUCUGCGGGAGAAUCCGUUUCCUGGCCCUGGAGGCGGCCUGUACUCCUCAGCUUGUGCUGCCCUUCUCGAAUGACUCGCGUUUCCUGCUUUCAUCACUACACCUCCCACCGCUCUCCAUCACCUGCUCUGCUCUUAUAAGGAUCCAGAGAAAUGGAAUAAUCUUAUUGCUGAUCUAUGUAAACAAGUUGAAGAAUUGUCUGAAAGAAAAUACAGUGUGUCUAAACUGGAAAAGUCCUGUAAUAGUUUGUUCAUGAGCAUUUACACAGUGGAGUUACUGUUCAUCAUGGGGGUACUGUGGACAAGCCCAGGGCUGCUGUAGAGACAAGAGUUUUUCCAUGUAGGCCCGGCUGGCCUCGAACUCCUGACCUCAAGUGAUCCACCUGCCUCCCAAAGUGGGAUUACAGAUACAUGAAGUUAUGAAUUUAAGAUGUGAAGAUUUACAGCUUGAUAAACCAGCUUCAGGAGACAUGAUCUUAUGAAUUCAACACAUGAAGAUUUACAACUUGAUAAACCAGCUUCAGGAGAUCAGAACUUCUUAUAAUACAACUGACGUUACUCAGCCUAGAACAAAUACAACAGGGAUUGUGCUGCAUUCUGACUUGGAUUCUGCCAUCGAACACAGAAUGCCCUGAUCCUUAGAUGCAGAGGCAGCUCUUCAGCCUAUGGGGGCUGCUGUAAAAUAUUACAGGCAUACUUUGGAGAUGUUACGGGUUUGGUUCCACAUCACUGCAAUAAAGCCUUCCAGAUAUACAGUCAUAUUUCUUAUAUUACACGACUCCAGCGGGAGGAAGAAGAGGCCUUUGCCAGCAGUCAGAGCAGCCAAGGGGCCCAAUCCCUCACAUUCUCCAAGUUUGAAGGAAAGAAAACCAACGAGAAGACCCGCAAGAUUACCACAGUGAAGAAAUCUUCAGUACGUCUUCCAGGGUCGGAUCAAAGAAGGUGCCUCCAGAAUGAGUUGAGAAGAUAAAUGGAUCAGAUUGAAAAGUACAUCAUGACUCAUCUCUAUAAAUAUGUGUUCUGUCCAGAAACUACUGAUGAUGAGAUGAAAGAUCUUGCCAUUCAAAAGAGGAUCAGAGUGGAAGCUGCUCUGUGGUGUCAGAAAGACAAGGAAUGUGGUGACCUCACCUAUCCAUCUCCCUCAAGGCAGCUUUUGAGCCCUUCACUGGGUUACACCUCAGAUGCUGUGUGUCCCUGUUAAUGAAGACAUCCCAGAAGUGUCUGAUACGGUGUUGAAGGCAAUCACAGGGAUUGUGCUGCAUUCUGACUUAGAUUCUGCCAUCAAAAACAGAAUGCCCUGAUCCUUAGAGGCAGAGGCAGCUCUUCAGCCUAUGGGCUUAAGCUCUUGGACUCACUGAGGCAGUAAAAGAACCAUAUCCUGUGUUUGAAUCAAACCCCGAGUUCCUGUAUGUUUAGAAGGUUUGCCAGACAGGAUUCCCUUUUGAAGCCCUCCUGGUUUGGAAUUCCAUGACUUAAAAGGAUCGUCCGUGGGAGUAAUAACAUCAAGUCUGUUGGUAAAAACUUCGCAGUUUCUAAAAAGACCACGAAGCCCUGAGAGUAAUGAAAAGGUUCCUGAAAUUGAGGUCACUGUGGAAGAAGGAAACGUGUCAUGUACCAGCUAUCCAUCCAAUGACUGCCCAUCAGUUCCAUAUUCACCCUUCACUGCCUGAUCUGCAAACAUAGAGGUGGGUUCCUUAAAUGCUUCUUCUGUCAGCUGGUACAUGAUUAAAUGUUGUCAGUACAUAGUACUAGAGGGACCUUGUAAGAGGCUUUUCUUUCUGGUUGUGGUGUGCGAAUCUCCACAGGCACUGAGCUUCUCCAGUACCGGGCUCUUGCCCUGCACGGUGCUCAGCAGCACCCAGUGACCAGCAGUUUCUCUGCACCUGCCUGGGUGGAUUUGUAGUGAGACAACUGUUCAUUAAUAGCUUAAUCUAGCACCCCAGAGGGUGAAUUUUCAGCAAAUUCCAGAGGGCAGAUUGCUAGCAUGUUCGACCAUGUGGUAAUGCAGCAAUUCUGCUAUUGAAUUACCCAUGACUGUGCUCUCUCCAAGUGGGGGCUGGAUCUCAGCCAUAGUGGGGGAGUCUUUUCCUUGAUCACAGUAUCUCAGCAUUGGGACAGUAGGGACAGUUACUGCUUGUUAUAUCAGCUGGUCCUAUACUCUUUUUGGAGACAGGGUCUCCCUCUGUUGCCCAAGCUGAAGUGCAGUGGCAAAAUCAUGGUUCACUGCAGCCUUGACUGCCCUGGCUCGAGCAAUCCUCCCACCUCAGUCUCCUAAGUACGUAGGACUAUAGGUGUGUGCCACCACACCCAGGUUUUUUGUUGUUGUUGUUAGUUAGUUUGUUUGGGUAGAGACAGGGUCUCACUGUGUUUCCCAGGCUGGUCUCAAACUCCUGGCCUCAAGGAAUCUUCCUGUCUUGGCUUCCCAAAUUGCUGAAAUUAUAAACAUGUGCCACCAUGCCUGGCCUCUGCUAGUCCUAUAUUCUCUAGCAUUCUCUUUACUUUUUGGUAGCAAAUCUCUCAUUAUGCUGUUGCCCUGUUAUAAUUAAUAAUUUUUUAUUUUAAAUUUAACACUUUAAACUUUUGAGUGGUUUAUGUCUCCUGUUAGGACUCUGACAAAUACAGAAUUGAUGCUAGGAAGGGUCCCGGGAGAUAGACCCAGACAACUGGGAUUUGGGGAUGGGUUUGGUUAUCCAAGGGGCAGCGCUGAGCUCCUUGCCAAUGGGAAAUGGGAUGCUGGUGAUUUCCAGGAAGUGACCUCAUAAUGACUCAAGCUACCACUUACUGUUGAUUGUGAUGAAAUGCCAGUGGAGGCACAUGCCUUGGGAGCUAAGUGGCUGCUGCACUUGACCACUAUGAAGACUGGUGUGGGAAGAAUCCUUUUGGAUGCACUUCAGCAGGGACCCCUGAUCCCUGGGUCACAGGCCUGUACUGGGCCACACAACAGGAGGUGAGUAAGGGUGGGUGAGCGAAGCUUCAUCUGUAUUUACAGCCGCUCCCCACAUUACCACCUGAUCUCUGCCUUCUGUCAGAUCAGUGGCAACAACCCUAUUGUGAACUGUGCAUGCAAGGGAUCUAUCUUGCUCUGUCCUUAGGAGAAUCUAAUGCCUGAUGAACUGUCAUUGUCUCCCAUCACCCCCAGAUGGGACCAUCUAGUUGCAGGAAAAGAAGGUCAAGACUCCCACUCAUUCUACAUUAUGUCUUCCUGUGUUGCCCAGGCUGGAGCACAGUGGUUUGAUCUUGGCUCACUGCAGUCUCAACCUCUCAGGCUCAAGCUAUCCUUCUGCCUCAGACUCUGGGGUAGCUGGGACAACAGCCUCAGCCAAGAUGUCUCACCCUACUCUCUAUGAUGCAACAAGAAGCCCCUGGGGAAUGUUUCAGUCCCAGUCUGUACUAUUGUCAUGUGCUCAUCACAGUCUGGUGGAAUUUAAAUGACCUUUUAUCAAGAUGGAUAAACGCAAGUUUCCCAGUGCUGGAAUACAGAAAAUGGAUGGACAACUGGAUCUACCAUGAAAGACUUCAGAGUCCAGGAAGAGAGACUGACUGGGCAACAUGUUAUUCAGUUACAAAAAGACUUGGACUAUGACUCAAAAAUGAUCAAAUAAUAGUUCAUGCAUCAAAUGCAAUAGGAAGUACUUCUGGAGGGGUCUUGCUCUGUUGUCCAGGCUGGAGUGCGGUAGUGCUAUCACAGCUGACUGCAUCCUCAACCUCUCAGGCUCAAGCAGUCCUCCCACCUCAGCCUCCCAGGUGGCUGAGACUGUACGUGCUUGCCACAAUGCCCAACUAAUAAUUUGGACUUUUCCUAUACAUGGGUUCCAAAGGGCUGACUGCGAAACGAAGUGACCUCACAAUGACUCAAGCUACCACUUAGUGUUGAUUGUGAUGAAAUGCCAGCUGUGGCAUAUGCCUUGGGAGCUAAGUGGCUGCUGCACUUGACCACUAUGAAGACUGGUGUGGAAGGGUCCUUCUGGAUGUACUUGGGCAGGGUCCCCAACGCCAGAGCCAUGGAACUGUAAGGAGCCACACAGCCGGAGGUGAAUGGUGUUGAAUGAGGGAAGCUUCAUCUGUGUUUACAGCCACUCCCCAUUGCUCACAUUCCUGCCUGAGCUCUGCCUUCUCUCAGAUCAGCAGCAGCAUUAGAUUCUCAUAGGAGCAUGCACCCCAUUGUGAACCAUGCAUGUGAGGGAUCUACGUUGCGCUGUCCCUAUGAGAAUCUAAUGCCUGAUGCUCUGUCACUUUCUCCAAUAUUAUCUUCAAGUGAGCCACUCCUGGCCCAAUUCCUGUCUCCCGUUGGCCUAUAGAGGCCAAGCCUCUGCCUCAUGAUGGCCUCUGCAGGUCAAGCUCCUCCUCCUGGUUCCGUCUACAGGCCCAACACUUCCCUCAAAUAAACUCUUCUGCCCAGCUCCUGUCCAGCUCACGGCAGCCACUGUCGGCAUGAAAAUUCCUCAAUUCAAGCUCUCUAGGCCCACCUUCUGCCUCCCACUGGCCUGGACACGCCCAGCUCCAACCUGACAAUGGUCUCUACAGGCCCAGCUCAUCGGGCUCUGAGGGACCUCUCCAGGCCAAGCUCUUACCUCACGGAGGCUUCUCCAGGUCGUUUCUCCCUGUCUUCAGGCAGUGGUGACAGGUCAGCUCCUCCUCCACAGUGGCCUCGUUUGGGCAGGUCCUGCCUCUUGCAGCCUCUCAAAGCCCAGCUCCUGCCUCUGAGUGGCUUCUGCGCACCCAAAUGUCCUCCAGUCAGCCUGUCCUGGCUGAGCUCCUGCGACCUGGCUGAGCUCCUGCCUCCUGUCGGCCUCUAUAAACCCAGCCUCUGCUGUAUGGUGGCUUCUUCAGGCCCAGCUCUUCCUCCUGGCGGUGUAUACAGGUCCAACUCCUGCUUCCCAAUGGACUCUUUAGGCCAGGCUCAUGCCUUACGGCAGCCUUUCCUGGCCCAGCUUUUGCCUGUUGGCAUACCCUCCAGGCCCACAAUGUACUCAGAUCAGCCACUCCAUUCCCAGCUCUUCUUCCUGGCUGUGUCUACAGGCCCAACUGCUGCCUCACAACACCCUCUUUUGGCCCAGCUCCUGCCCAGCACCUGGUGGCCUCUAUAUGCCCCAGACUUCUUAAAGUCAACUUUGCUAGGCCCACCUUUGGCCUCCCAGCGGCUUUGACAGGACCAGCUCUUGCCUCAUGGCAGCUUCCCAACGCCAGGUUUCUGCCUGCAUUGUGGCAUCCUUGAUGGACCCAACUCUUGCUUUAUGCCGGCCUUCCCACACCAAGUUUCUGCCUGCCUCAUGGCAGGAUCCGAUAGGCCCAGCUCCUGCCUCUAAUGGCCUGGUUAGGCUCAUCUCAUCCCUCAAGGUGGCCACCCCAGAUGAAGCUCCUGCCUUUUGGCAGCCUUUAGAGGCCCAGCUCAUGCAUCUCAUUGCCUCUUGAAGCCCAGCUCAUUCCUCAAAACGGCCUAUCCACGCCCAGCUUUUCCCUUUGGUGGCUUCUCCAGGCCCAGAAAUUCCUCAGUUCGGCUUCGCAAGGUGAAGUUGCUGCCUCCCUGUGCCUUCUCCAGGCCCAGUUCUUCCUCCCAGCUGGGUCUACAGUCCCAUCUCCUGACUCAAAACAACCUAUUUUGGCUCGGCUCCUGCCCAGCACCUGGCGGCCUUUGUAGGCCUAAAGCUUCCUCAAGUCAAGCGUUCCAGGCCCAGAUCAUGCUGCCCAGGGGCCUUCACAGGCCCAGCUACUGCCUGACGAUGGCUUCCCCAGGCCCAGGUCUUGCCUUCCCCCAGCCUCCCGAGGCCCAGCCCUUGCCUCACAGUUGCUUUCCCAGUCCACGUUACAGCCUGUUACCCGACGGCCUUGACAGACCAAACUCUUCCUUCACACUGGACAGUUUAGGACAAGCUCAUACGUCUUCCAGCCUCUCCAGGUCAAGCUCCUGCCUCACACUGGCCUCUAUAGGCCCAGGUGCUGAAUCGCAAUGGUCUGUUUAGGUCCAUCUCAUGCCUUUCUCAGACUCUCCAAGCGACGAUCUGGCCUGACACUUGCUUCUGUGGGCCAUGUGAUCACUCACACUGGCCUCUUUAGGAUCAGGGGAUGCCUCUCCACAGGCCGAGAUCCUGCCUGUUGUAGGCCCCUUCAGGAUGCGCCGCUGCCUGACAGUGGACCCUCCAGGCCUAGAUGUUACGUGAUCAUGGCCUCUGCAGGUCAAGAAUUUAAAUUUUCGCAGCCUCUAUAGGCCAGGCUACUGCCUCCUGAUAAUGGCUUCUGCAGGCCCAAAUCGUCCUGAAAUAAGCCUCGCCAGGAACAGCACGUGUGUUGGAUGCCCGAACAACCAUAGCUUCUCCCGCACAGUGGCCCAUGGGGGCCGGGCUCUUGCCUCAGCCUGGCCACCUCAGGCCCAGUUCUUGCCUGUUGGCGGCCGCUCCAGGCCCGGCUCCUGCCCCUCGGCCUCCUCUCCAGGCCCAGAACUGGUUCCCGUCGGCCUCUCCAGGCCCAGCUCUCCCGGCCACCUCCACGGGCCCAGCUCCUGCCUCACGACAACCACGUUCGGCCCAGCUCCUGCCCAGCUCCUGGCAGCCGUUGUAGGCCCCAGGCUUCCCUGCGUUCAGGCCUCCCGGACCCACCUUCGGCUUUCCGGCGGCCCUGAGAGACCCGGCUCCUGCCUGCCAGCGGCCUCUCCCGGCCCAGCUGCGGCCUCACGUCGGCCUCCCCAGGCCACGUUUCCGCCUGCCUCACGGCAGCCCCGGCAGGCCCGGCUCCCGCCUGCCGGGGGCCUCUUGAGGAGGCUCAUCUCGUGCCCGGCCGCGGCCUCCCCAGGCCAGGCUCCUGCCUGCCGGCAGGCGCCACAAGCCCAGCUCCUGCGUCCCGAAGGCUUCUCUAGGCCCGGCUCGUGCCUCGCUGCGGCCUCUUGAGGCCCAGCUUUUCCCUUGUGGUGGCCUCUCCAGGCCCAGAACUUCCUCAAGUCGGCCUCCCCCGGUCCAGUGGCUGCCUCCCGGCCUCCUCUCCGGGCCCAGCUCUUUGCUCGCGUCUGCGCCCGUGGGCCCAGCUCCCGUCUCCAAACAGCCUCCUUCGACUCGGCUCCUGCCCAGCUCCCGGCGGCCUUCGUAGGCCCGAAGCCUCCUCCAGUCCAGCUCUCCAGGGCCGCGUCUUGCCUCGCCUCGCCUCCCCUCACCUUGCCUCACCUCGCAGCAGCCUUUCCAGGCCCAGCUCCCGCCUCCCGGCGGCCUUCCCCUGCCACGCUCGUGCCGGCCUCCCGGCAGCCUCCACCAGCCCGGCUCCUGCCUCACGCUGGCCCCUCUGGGCCCAGCUCAUGCCUCGCGGUGGCCUCUCCGGGCCCAGCUCCCACCCAGCCUGACGGCGCCUCCCGGCCCCAAGCUGCCUUCCUCGAUGUGGCCCAAAGUGGCCCAAAGCGUCCCAAAGUAGGCCUCGCCAGGCCCACCUCCUGCCCGGCGUAGGCCCUGAGGGGCGCGGCCCCUGCCCCAUACUGGCCUCUUUUGGGCCCUCUCUUACACCAGCCCCUGUCUCAGGAUUGUCUCUUCACGCCCAUCUUCUGCCUCAUAGUGGUCACUCAAGGCCUCGCUUUUGCCUGAUGAUUGCGUUUUCUGGUUUUGCUCUUGCCUUGUAUUCCCUUCUUCGGGAUACAGCUUUUACGUCUUCCAUGGUGAACCUCAUCAAGGAGACUAAAUCUUCCCUGGUCUGUCAUUUUUUUCACUUCACACCAGAGUGCCUUGGGAAAACCCCAUCUCUUCUUUUAACCUUGAGAGUGGAUUUCUGACGAAUUGAUAAUAAAUUUUUUCUCUGUGGUUUCAGUGAUUUCUGUUUUAUUUAAUGUCCCAUGGUGUUUUUUUGUCUGCUGGGGGUGAGGGUGGGAAUGAAUUUUUGGCCCUUUGUCUUUGCCCCGGAGAUGGUAGCUUCUCACUUCAUUUCUUCUGUUUUUAUAUUAUUUACUGUUUUCUUUUCUUUUUUUCUUUUUGUUUUUCCUUAGGUUCUUACUCUGUCACCCAGGCUGGAGUGUAGUCAUGUCAUUAUGGCUUACUGCAUCCUUGGCCUUUUGGCCUCAAGUGAUCCUCCCAACUCAGUAACUGAGACUAUAGGCACAUGCCAAUAUGCCUGGCUGAUUUCUGUUUUUUUUAUGAGGUUUUUUCUCACUAGGUUGCCCAGUCUGGUCCCAAACUUUUGGACACAAGCAUUCCUUUUGCCUGGGCCUCCCAAAGUGCAGAGAUUACAAGCAUGAGCCAUCAUGCCCUGCCUGCAAUUUUUCUGUCA
rnacentral:lncRNA from 1 species